GUGUCAGCCGCCGCGGUAAUACCGGCAGUCCGAGUGAUGGCCGAUCUUAUUGGGCCUAAAGCGUCCGUAGCUGGCUGAACAAGUCCGUUGGGAAAUCUGUCCGCUUAACGGGCAGACGUCCAGCGGAAACUGUUCAGCUUGGGACCGGAAGACCUGAGGGGUACGUCUGGGGUAGGAGUGAAAUCCUGUAAUCCUGGACGGACCGCCGGUGGCGAAAGCGCCUCAGGAGAACGGAUCCGACAGUGAGGGACGAAAGCUAGGGUCUCGAACCGGAUUAGAAACCCCGGUAGUCC
rnacentral:rRNA from 1 species